rnacentral:rRNA from 1 species
GUCUACGGCAAUACCACCCUGAACGAGCCCAGUCUCAUCUGAUCUCGGAAGCUAAGGAGGGUCAGGCCUGGUUAAUACUUGGAUGGGAGGAUGUCUUUACAGAUAAUGCAGUCAUGUUAGAAA